GACGAACGCUGGCGGCGUGCUUAACACAUGCAAGUCGAACGGUAAGGCCCUUCGGGGUACACGAGUGGCGAACGGGUGAGUAACGCGUGAGUAACCUGCCCUUCACUCUGGGAUAACAGUUGGAAACGGCUGCUAAUACCGGAUAUUCAGCUCCUGUCGCAUGGUGGGGGUUGGAAAGUUUUGGUGGUGGAGGAUGGGCUCGCGUCCUAUCAGCUUGUUGGUGGGGUGAUGGCCUACCAAGGCGUCGACGGGUAGCCGGCCUGAGAGGGCGACCGGCCACAUUGGGACUGAGAUACGGCACAAACUCCUACGGGAGGCAGCAGUGGGGAAUAUUGCACAAUGGGCGGAAGCCUGAUGCAGAAACGCCGCGUGCGGGAUGACGGCCUUCGGGUUGUAAACCGCUUUCAGCAGGGACGAAGCGCAAGUGAAGGUAACUGAAGAAGAAGCACAGGCUAAAUACGUGC
rnacentral:rRNA from 1 species